AACGCUCGCCGCUAGGUGGAGGCAGAUUUCCAAGAGCUGGAGCAAACUCACCUUCUGGUUUUGAGGCAAAAAAGGCGAUAGAAGCGGAAAGCGCUGUUCGCCUUUAGCGAUUGCUCUGGGUCUCCCGCCAGUGCUUCCCUCCCCUAAUUUUAGGGCGAGCGCGGGAAGGGGACUUUUUUUGAAUGGAAGCAGCUGCGGAUUGGUGCGUCUUCGUCAGCGCACAGCUGUAAGUCGCGCCUACCAGAAGGAUUCGAUCGGGCGCUGAAGUGACUCUGCGGUCGUGCGGGUAACUUGUCUCUAAGAGCAAUCCAAGAGGAGGGUGACCCUUUAUGGCAGUGUGGCAUCUUGCCUGUGAGACCUCAGCUAAUGGUUUCCCCAAAGUUUGAGCACCAUGAGAACAGCAAGAGGUUGGAGAUACCACGAGAGAAACAGUUUGAAUCCACUCCAUCCAAAAGAGGCUUCACAGCCACAAAUACAAUGAUCAUGAACCCAAAGAAGAAGAAACAGUUCAGCUCCAAUUGUAGAAAAAGUUUUCAUUAUCGAUCCAAGUUCUUCGCACAUCAGAGAGUCCAUACAGGGGAGAAACCUGACAAGUGUUCAGAGUGCAGAAAGAGACUCUGCCAACUCUCCAGUCUCCUCUUCAGUAGACCACUGUUAAGGGUUAAUUCCUCUAACACACUAAAGCACCUCCUUGAGGGCCAUCCUUGAGAGUUAACUACUGUUUUGAUUAAGCAUCGCCAUCUUACAAUGGAUGUCUAUAUCCGCCAUCUUAGCAAUGUAAGCUGAUUACGCACUUAAAAAGUGAUCAGGACAUGCUCAAGAGCAUGACCGGAAGUAUGACGCAGGGGUGGAUCUGGGGAAGACCGGGUGUGUGCCAUGUCUGCUGAACUGUAGUAUUACCUUAUUUGUUCCUACUGUAAGCUUCCUGUAAGUUGUUUACUGAGGGGUAUAAAUAUUGGGGGAACAAGACAGUCGGGGUCGACCGCACCCACUCUGAAUUGCCGGUGUGAGUGCUGCUUAUUUUUUAAUAAACGAUUUUUUAAGUUUUUGUCCUAAA